rnacentral:rRNA from 1 species
AUUGAACGCUGGCGGCAGGCCUAACACAUGCAAGUCGAACGGUAACAGGAAGAAGCUUGCUUCUUUGCUGACGAGUGGCGGACGGGUGAGUAAUGUCUGGGAAACUGCCUGAUGGAGGGGGAUAACUACUGGAAACGGUAGCUAAUACCGCAUAACGUCGCAAGACCAAAGAGGGGGACCUUCGGGCCUCUUGCCAUCGGAUGUGCCCAGAUUGGAUUAGCUAGUAGGUGGGGUAACGGCUCACCUAGGCGACGAUCCCUAGCUGGUCUGAGAGGAUGACCAGCCACACUGGAACUGAGACACGGUCCAGACUCCUACGGGAGGCAGCAGUGGGGAAUAUUGCACAAUGGGCGCAAGCCUGAUGCAGCCAUGCCGCGUGUAUGAAGAAGGCCUUCGGGUUGUAAAGUACUUUCAGCGGGGAGGAAGGGAGUAAAGUUAAUACCUUUGCUCAUUGACGUUACCCGCAGAAGAAGCACCGGCUAACUCCGUG